UACAGAGGGUGCGAGCGUUGUCCGGAAUCACUGGGCGUAAAGGGCGCGUAGGCGGUCGGAUAAGCGUGCGGUGAAAGCCCGGGGCUCAACCCCGGGUCGGCCGUGCGGACUGUUCGACUGGAGCACUGUAGAGGCAGGUGGAAUUCCGGGUGUAGCGGUGGAAUGCGUAGAGAUCCGGAAGAACACCGGUGGCGAAGGCGGCCUGCUGGGCAGUUGCUGACGCUGAGGCGCGACAGCGUGGGGAGGCAAACAGG
rnacentral:rRNA from 1 species